GGCGUAAAGAGCUCGUAGGCGGUUUGUUGCGUCGGCUGUGAAAACCUGAGGCUCAACCUCAGGCCCGCAGUCGAUACGAGCAGACUAGAGUGUUGCAGGGGAGACUGGAAUUCCUGGUGUAGCGGUGAAAUGCGCAGAUAUCAGGAGGAACACCGGUGGCGAAGGCGGGUCUCUGGGCAACAACUGACGCUGAGGAGCGAAAGCGUGGGGAGCGAACAGGAUUAGAUACCCUGGUAGUCCACGCCGUAAACGUUGGGCGCUAGGUGUGGGGCUCAUUCCACGAGUUCCGUGCCGCAGCUAACGCAUUAAGCGCCCCGCCUGGGGAGUACGGCCGCAAGGCUAAAACUCAAAGGAAUUGACGGGGGCCCGCACAAGCGGCGGAGCAUGUUGCUUAAUUCGAUGCAACGCGAAGAACCUUACCUAGGCUUGACAUGCACGGAAAUCCUCCAGAGAUGGUGGGUCCGUAAGGGCCGUGCACAGGUGGUGCAUGGUUGUCGUCAGCUCGUGUCGUGAGAUGUUGCGUUAAGUCCCGCAACGAGCGCAACCCUCGUUCUAUGUUGCCAGCACGUCAUGGUGGGGACUCAUAGGAGACUGCCGGGGUCAACUCGGAGGAAGGUGGGGAUGACGUCAAAUCAUCAUGCCCCUUAUGUCUAGGGCUGCAUACAUGCUACAAUGGCCGGUACAAAGGGCUGCGAUACCGCGAGGUGGAGCGAAUCCCAAAAAGCCGGUCUCAGUUCGGAUUGGGGUCUGCAACUCGACCCCAUGAAGUUGGAGUCGCUAGUAAUCGCAG
rnacentral:rRNA from 1 species